CACCACUUCCAUAAUACUUACUUCUAAAGCCAGCACCUGAAUUACUGACUAUCCAUUCAUUCCCCACAACUCUAGGAGAGGUAAAGGGAGAUGUGCAUUUCUGUUGGUAUUCCUGAUGUGACUUUAAGAACAUGGCAGGAUGCACUAGUAAAAUUCAGAUGGAAACAUAAAAGACAAAGGGUUGUGACAGUGUCCAAACAAGAUGCUUUCCAAACACAGGGGAAGACAACAACCACUCCCCUGGCAUGUUGACCCCUCAGCCUGUUGAGUCACCAAAAACAAUGCAUUAAUCCAAGUUCUCAUUUGGGACCAAAUGCUAUCUCAGAUGAACACCCCUUCUCCUUGCCUGUACCUGAGAGAGGUUGUAGCAGCUUGGCCAUGGCUGAAAAAGGUCCAAGGGUGAUGCUGUUCCACUCCACUCACCUUGCCAUAUGCAGCAUGGGCUCCAGGAUGUUAUAACCAGUCAUAGCGCAGCACUCAUAGAAGACAGCUUUGUAUUCCUGCCGGAAGGGAGAGUGAGAAGAUAACUUCUGCCGCUCUCAACCCCCCACCCCACCUAGUCUCUCUCACACACACACACACAAGAUCCUUUCCCAUCUCCAGCACUUACAAAGGAUUAUCCUCUAUCUCCCCAUACACAAUGUAACGCGAUCCCGCACCGGAACCCUCUGGGGUUUCACAGAAUGCUGCAUACAUGCCACCAGUAAUACUGGCAUCACAGAGUGUCAUCCCAUGAGUGGUAUAGGCACAUUCUUUUUUCAGCAGCUGGAGGCCCUGGUGUCAAGAGGGUGUCAAAGCUCUAGCAGCCAAGGGGAGCACUGGGUUGGAUCUUUUAGCAGCUGGAAGGCCAGGGGGAAAUGCCCCCUCACUGGCCUGUUUGUGCUGCCGUGCAGUGGAACAUAGGAGAGUCAAGAUCCUGGUCGGGUGCAAUUUGGAGCACACCUCAUGCUCCACUACACAAUUCAAUGCAGCAAGGCCCAGUGCAGGAGUCUUUGCGGCUAAGGGGAGGCAGGGACCACUAGGCAUUGAAAUGAAGAAAAUAAAUUCCCAUUUCAUAAUCAACCAGGGCAUUCCUGGCAAAACUAGAGUAUGCCAAGAGCGUGGAGCCUGGACUGGCAGACUUGCUAGAUCACUGGUUAAAUGGUCAUUAUUUCAAAGGAAUGCUGUGGCUGCACCCUCACCCUGAGGGAUCAAAGUCACUUUAAGGAUGCACCAAGCCCAAGCACAAAGAGACCUGAAGUCCUUCCAGAGCCAGGGUCCAUCACAAGCUGGCCACUUUAUAUUAUCAUUAAGGCUAAGAUUUUGUCACGGAUAUUUUAGUAAAAGUCACAGGACAGAUCACGGGCAAUAAAAAAAUUCACAGAAGCCCGUGACCUGUCCCUGAAUUUUACUAAAAAUAUCCAUGACAAAAUGGGGAGCCCUGUUGCAGGGUCCCCAUACCACCUGCAGAGGUUGGGUAGCUGCGGGGGCUGCUCUCGGGGCCCCCACCGCCUGUGCAACUUCUGAGCUCCAGGAUCCCCUGGUUUGGAGUUCUGGGGUACCCCGUCACCCAUGGCAGCCAGGAGCUUUGAAGGACCCCCGCUGCCUGUGGCAACCAGGAGCUGCAGCCCUGCCUCCCAUGGUGGCUGGGAAUUUCGGGGAGCCCACAGCACCCUGUGGCAGGAGGACCCCGCAGCUCCUGGCCAACAGGGCUGAAUUCACAGAGGUAGCUGGAAGUCACAGAUUCCGUGACUUCCAUGACCUCAGUGAAAAAAUAGUCAUCUUAAUUAUCAUUUAAGGACUUCACCCUGCACCACUGAAGUCAAGGGGAGCUUGGCUGUUGAUUCCAGUGGGGGCAGGACCAUACUCUGCAAUAGCUGUUAGCAUGCAAGAGUUCCCUCCCAUUUCCUAAAUAUGGCUGUGAGCAUGCAAACCAGACCAGAAUGAAAUCUACAAAACUUUUGGACUGGGGAGUAGCAUACAGAGCCAUACCUUCGCCAGCCUUUCUCCCUCCAUCUUGGGCAUGUGCUGGGUCUUUCUCUCUGCUGCAUCCAUUUUGUUUCAGAGCAGAAAGAUCAUGGCUCCAUCCUCAAUCCCUUCCUGCAGGACAGACAGAGCAAGGCUCCUGUGAGAACCGUUUGGAAGACAGGAGUAUCUCGGGGCUGGAUCCUGAUCCCGCUAACAUGAAUAAGAGCCUUG